AAUCGAAGUCCGACACAGCUACUGGCAUAAGCCGGGUGGUGGCAGGCUUGCUCUGUGGCAGCAACGUUGGGGCGCUAGGCGGCGUUGGACUACAACUCCCGUCAUUCCUAGCUAGCGUAGCCCGCACCUAGGGAUGAUGGGAGUUGUGGUUGAAGAACAGCUGGCUGCUCCACAGCCUUGGCCCUGAGGCACGAGGAGGAGGAAGCUUGCCCCGUCCAGAAAAUGGCCCUUUGAGGGCGAGGGCUCUUGGUUAGCGGUGACUCAUGAGGGCUGUACUAGGCUAACGCCCUUUUGAAGAUAUUUUCCUGAUAGGUGCCAAAUAACUCAUUUAUUAGGCUCAUGGCAUGGAGUUUUUAUUGGUGGGAGCAGUUGUCGUUGCCCUUCUCGGCCUUCAAAGAUUUAUUGCUUUACAAAAAAGAGCAAACGCCAGAAUAUGCCAAUCCCCAAUCACGUUUACUCGGAAAUAAUUCCUGUUUACUGCUAAAACAGCAUCCCAGACAACCCCUUAUUGGGCAUAUUAGUGUCCAGUUCGGGCACGCAGACGACUGCAGCCCCACCAUGGCAAUACCAGGCAUAUUUACUCGGAAGAAGCCUCCUUGAACAUGCGGGGCAUAUUGACUGUCUUCAGGCCUAUGUACACCCGCAUGGAAGGGGCUGCGCAAUUUCUUAACGGCAUCUACUCAAGUCCUAUUGAAUUAAGUGGGGUUUAUUCCCAGGCUUAUCCCUCCUGUCUGCAACUCAACCAUACAGUUUACAGUUACGCAGCAGAGAAAUAAAGUUUCUGCAUGGAAUACUUAAGCAUGUUUUCAAAAUGGUAGAUGGAAAGCCAGAAUCCAGCUUGCUCUGAGGCCAGCAGGCCAGCCCGAGAGCCACCACUGCAGUUCCUCCUUGGGCUUUGUGCCUGGAGCCUAAGGACCUCUAGCUACUGAUUGCCACCAGCUGGGGAGAAAAGCAAAGAAAUGUGAUGUUGGAUUGCAGUGACCAGCACAGCAGCUUCUGGGAAGAAACACUCAUCUGACCAGUGGGACUUUGGAAUUGCAGCAGCAACAGCUUCUGAAGCUCACAACUAUUCUUAAUUAUUUGCUGCUGGUUUUUCAGGUGGCAGCAGCAACAGAGAAUUAGGGGCCUAAAAAUUACUAGUUAUGACACUGGCGUAUAUGGUUCUGUAGCACUAAGGCAGCCUGUACUCUGUAUAUAACCAGGGGUGGGCCCCUGUCUGCUUGUUCUCGCCUGCUUUACCCCUUAGGAAGCACAGUCUACUUCCUGAGGAACUAGAAAACGCAGAGAAUUUUAAAGAGGAAGAGAUGUUACUCUCACUAAUGCAACGUUAUGAUUCUUUGAUCUUGUGACUCCAAUGCGAGUUUGCUGACAAAACCUUAAAGAAGGCCUAAGCCCUGCUUUAGAGUCCAUCCUUGUUACCGGAUGGACACAGUUGGAAAAAAUAAAAGCCCUCUGCCAGUUCUCUCACUCAAGCAGCUCUUUUGCCAUUUACAAAUUGCCUCUGGACCUCCAAGGAAGAAAAUGGGUGUUAUCGGUGCCAUAGACUUCAAUUGGUUUAAUAGUAAUGAUCUUACCCAUAGGGCCCCCUGAUCAGAACUGGGACCAUUCUGCACCCCUGUGAACUUUUUGCUUCACAGAAGGAAAACCGCUAUUGGUGUUCAUUAUAGUCUUCCCUCCUGGGGCAAACAGAAGGGUAUGUGCAGUUCUUAUCUCCUGGUGCAGAAAAGGGGUUUAACCCACGUGUCACGUUCCAAAUCCUGACUGAGGGCCCUGUAAUGGGUUUUGUGUAAUGGUUAGUGUGUUGGACUAUGAUCUGGAACACCAGAGUUGGAAUCCCCACUCAGACAGGAAGCUAACUGGGUGACUUUGGGCCAGUCACGGUCUCUCCGCUUAACCUACCCUCACAGGGUUGUUGUGAGGAUAAAACUGGGAUAAGAGAACCAUGCUUACCAUCUUGAGAUCCUUGGAUGAAAAGGUGGUACACAAAUGUCAUCAGUCAAUCAAACAAACAAAUGUUAUAAGCAAUCAUACAUUUGACAUAACAUUUUAGUUCGCGUGCCUGGCUGCUAUGAAAAGUGAGAGCAGCAUAGCAGCUUUAAAAGGAAGGGGGAAAGGCAGAAGCUUGCCACUUUUUAGCAAUGGAUGCUGGUCCACUGAGGUUACUAAGGCACAAACCUCCCUAGGAAAAUGUUGAGCAUCUUUUCCUCUUCAAAAUCACUCUUCCCUGACCCCUCCCCCCCCAUUUUAUACUUCCUUGACCAUACAGGGACAUAUCUGCCAAUCUCCUAUUCUCUGGCCAAUCAGCUCUCUGCAUCACUCAGCCAAUCCUAAUCCAAAAGUAUGGCUAUGGCAAAGAGGUGCUUCCCAUGUGUCUCUAAGCAGGAAAAACCAUGUGACUGAUUGGAUUGCAGGAAAUUUAGCCCUAGCAGAAAGACUCUUAUUCCAUCUGUUAUUAUGGGGCCUGUCCAGCACAGUCACCAGAGCAGAUAUGGGAGAAGUCAGGAAUGCUUCCAAAACAGCCCUAUGUGCUAGCAUUAGCCCAUGCUUUCUCUGAAGGCCAGAGAAGCAUCAGGAAACACUUCCUCAUUUGAGGAGCAUUUUGUUUGUUUGUUUGCUGAGUUCAGUAUUGUUUUGUGACUUUGCUGGAAAGAGCAAGGAAGCAACAGCAAGUCUCUUUCAAUAAAUGAAUUUACUUAAUCGUUUUGCAUUUUGCAUGUAUCUUUCUGGGAGGCAAAAUAGUGGGUGGCUUCCGUAUAAAUUGCAACAAACUAUUAAUAAUUUCUCUAUAUUCAUUCAUUUAAAGCUGCUGUUACAGAAGCAGCUGACAGGGCAGGGCAAGGCAGAUAAGGUAGAUUUGAACUGUGUGUAAUUACAGAGUAUUUUCCAGAGUAUUUCCAGAAAAGGUGUGUGGAUCUGCUUCCAAGCAGCCCUUCCCCUAGCAGGGUAUAUAUCUUGAAUGCACAGGAAUU